CCUGCAGUGACAAGGAGAUAAAUUUUCACUUGGUCUAUGUGUCUGCUUUGACACUCAAAAACAUUACACACGUGUCCAACUAUGAAAAACAUGGCAGAGAUCAGCAGUGCUCAUCAGACAAGCCUUAGUCACCACAGAAACAGCUACUGGUGUAACCAUCUUCCCCUUGUCAUUUGGUACCACAUUUUAAGGCCUGAGAGGGAAAUCCUUUCACAAAAGGCAAAUGUACAUCAAUACUUGGAAAAGGGGAGAGGGACACAGCACUGUUAAAAGGCUGCAGACAAAAUAAGCUUUCAAAAUAUCAGAGAGUUGGGUAGAACAUCACAAUUUAUUUGGGUUUCUGUUUGUACAAGAGUGAGUUUGACACUAACUUCAUUUCUGCUUCCUGUGCAUUCCCCACCUUGAGCUCAUCCCGCUGAGAAUGUUCUCAGCUUUCUCAGAGCAAGCUGAAGAGCACAGAGGAUGGACUAGAAAUGAGCCAGAAGAUAUUUCAGAGGAGAAAACAACACAGAAAAUCCUUCUUUGUGCAGAGUAGUAGAAGAAAGGAGAAAACCUCCCUGCAAGGGGAAGCAGCAUCAUGCAUGUCUGAAGAGUACCAAACGAUACAGCAAAUGAAAGGCAAAACUGAAGAAAUACACAUCCAGAAAAUAUCCAAUAGGAUAAGCUGGAAUGAAAAGUCUUCUCAAGUUACCAGGGCCGGAGGUAAGAGGAGAAUUCCAAAGGUAUUUCCAUACAAGCAGCAUUAAUCACCCCAACAUCAGCUCCAGUUACCCAGGCAGUGCUGCACACCGCCUGAGUGCUGUGCAUGCACGUGAAUAUAUCCACCUGUGUACUGCCAUUUACUACAACAAAUCCACCAAAAAAGUCCACUCAGCUUGCAUAAGUCCUCCUUUUUAAGACCUUUGAAUUUUUGCUGCAACAGAAAUUUCCAGGUUUUUAACACCGAUUUCAGUCUGAUAUGCAAAGGAGGAGCUCAUAGUUAACUCAGUAGUAAAUUUUGCACCUAAAAGCCCAAAUUCAUUAUCAAUACAGAACAUUCUAGAGAAGAAAGCAUUGUUCAGAGUUUAUAUUCUCCAGUAAAAGGGGCACUAGGGAAAGACAAUUCAAUAUUUAAAGCACAAAAGACCAAAGCCUGGGGCAAGAGGACUGCCACUGUAGCUCCUUGCUGACAGGUCCAGGGGAUAGAGAAUCUCUUUGCUGCAAACACAGGGACAGCAAAUUAAUUUUUUCCCUCUCCUACUUUUUAGGAAGAUAUCAAGCCCAAAAUGCUCAAAGGUGGGGUAUUCCCCCCUUCCUCUAGAAUCCUGCAAACCAGUAGGAUUGCAACAUCUGCUUCCCCUCCUUUUUUUUUCUCUGAGUAUCUUUACCAUGUCAGAAGAAUGUGGUCACCAGAAGAGAGAGAAUUAAUUAACACUUGUCUUUUUACAGGAUGACUCAUGAGUAUUCAUUUGGUAGCUCAAAUGGACUUUGCCUCAUGAUUACAGAGGACUUCAGUGAACCAAAUAUUUCUAUUACCAAGUCACACGGUGCUUUAUAAAACAAUUGCCAAACAAAAGUGGAAAAAACAUAAUUGGCAAAAGAAGGGGCAAAGGGAAAGGGCUGCAGUGAUUUUCAAAGGCUUAAAUACAG
ensembl:lncRNA